rnacentral:rRNA from 1 species
CCUACGGGAGGCAGCAGUGGGGAAUAUUGGACAAUGGGCGAAAGCCUGAUCCAGCAAUGCCGCGUGAGUGAUGAAGGCCUUAGGGUCGUAAAGCUCUUUUACCCGGGAUGAUAAUGACAGUACCGGGAGAAUAAGCCCCGGCUAACUCCGUGCCAGCAGCCGCGGUAAUACGGAGGGGGCUAGCGUUGUUCGGAAUUACUGGGCGUAAAGCGUGCGUAGGCGGUUAUUCAAGUCAGAGGUGAAAGCCCGGGGCUCAACCCCGGAACGGCCUUUGAAACUAGGUAGCUAGAAUCUUGGAGAGGUCAGUGGAAUUCCGAGUGUAGAGGUGAAAUUCGUAGAUAUUCGGAAGAACACCAGUGGCGAAGGCGACUGACUGGACAAGUAUUGACGCUGAGGCACGAAAGCGUGGGGAGCAAACAGGAUUAGAUACCCUGGUAGUCCACGCCGUAAACGAUGAUAACUAGCUGUUCGGGUACUUGGUAUCUGAGUGGCGCAGCUAACGCAUUAAGUUAUCCGCCUGGGGAGUACGGUCGCAAGNUUAAAACUCAAAUGAAAUUGACGG